UAUUUUCUUCCUUUAAGAACCAAGGGGAUGUGCUUUCGAAUGGACCCAAGAAUCCACCAAUCUGCUCCCAAGGGGACAUCUUCAUUUGUAUGGGACAAACAUCACAGUAAUUCAUGAAGUUUAAAGUUUGAAGCCUGAUCCUCAAUCUGGAUUAGAAUGUCUGCUGAGACAGGGUACAAAGGAAUAUUGACCUGCCAAUGUGGAAAAGUGUUGCAGAGAAAAGGCAAAAACCAAAACUGAAUAGGGAAGAAGAUGGACAUUCAAUGAAACUGGAGUAUUCCAUAUGUUUUGAUGAAAGGACCAGAGCUAAACAAAAAAUUUGACCUCUAAAUAUAGAACUCAAGAGAAACAAAAAG